UACGAAGGGGGCUAGCGUUGUUCGGAAUCACUGGGCGUAAAGCGCACGCAGGCGGAUCGUUAAGUCAGGGGUGAAAUCCCGAGGCUCAACCUCGGAACUGCCUUUGAUACUGGCGAUCUUCGAGUCCGGGAGAGGUGAGUGGAACUGCGAGUGUAGAGGUGAAAUUCGUAGAUAUUCGCAAGAACACCAGUGGCGAAGGCGGCUCACUGGCCCGGUACUGACGCUGAGGUGCGAAAGCGUGGGGAGCAAACAGG
rnacentral:rRNA from 1 species